CCUACGAGUGGCUGCAGUGGGGAAUAUUGCACAAUGGGGGAAACCCUGAUGCAGCGACGCCGCGUGAGUGAAGAAGUAUUUCGGUACGUAAAGCUCUAUCAGCAGGGAAGAAAAUGACGGUACCUGACUAAGAAGCCCCGGCUAACUACGUGCCAGCAGCCGCGGUAAUACGUAGGGGGCCAGCGUUAUCCGGAUUUACUGGGUGUAAAGGGAGCGUAGACGGCAGCGCAAGUCUGGAGUGAAAUCCCAUGGCUUAACCAGGGAACGGCUUUGGAAACUGUGCAGCUAGAGUGCAGGAGAGGUAAGCGGAAUUCCUAGUGUAGCGGUGAAAUGCGUAGAUAUUAGGAGGAACACCAGUGGCGAAGGCGGCUUACUGGACUGUAACUGACGUUGAGGCUCGAAAGCGUGGGGAGCAAACAGGAUUAGAUACCCGGGUAGUC
rnacentral:rRNA from 1 species